rnacentral:rRNA from 1 species
AUUGAACGCUGGCGGCAGGCUUAACACAUGCAAGUCGAGCGGUAACAGAGAGAAGCUUGCUUCUCUGCUGACGAGCGGCGGACGGGUGAGUGAUGCCUAGGAAUCUGCCUAGUAGUGGGGGAUAACUUGCCGAAAGGUAAGCUAAUACCGCAUACGUCCUACGGGAGAAAGGAGGGGACCUUCGGGCCUUUCGCUAUUAGAUGAGCCUAGGUCGGAUUAGUUAGUUGGUGAGGUAAUGGCUCACCAAGACCGCGAUCCGUAACUGGUCUGAGAGGAUGAUCAGUCACACUGGAACUGAGACACGGUCCAGACUCCUACGGGAGGCAGCAGUGGGGAAUAUUGGACAAUGGGGGGAACCCUGAUCCAGCCAUGCCGCGUGUGUGAAGAAGGUCUUAGGAUUGUAAAGCACUUUAAGUUGGGAGGAAGAGCAGUUAACUAAUAUUUGACUGUUUUGACGUUACCGACAGAAUAAGCACCGGCUAACUUCGUGCCAGAAGCCGCAGUAA